rnacentral:rRNA from 1 species
UCCAGACUCCUACGGGAGGCAGCAGUGGGGGAUAUUGCACAAUGGGGGGAACCCUGAUGCAGCGACGCCGCGUGGGUGAAGGAGCGUUUCGGCGCGUAAAGCCCUAUCGGCAGGGAAGAAGGAGGACGGUACCUGACUAAGAAGCCCCGGCUAACUACGUGCCAGCAGCCGCGGUAAUACGUAGGGGGCAAGCGUUAUCUGGAUUUACUGGGUGUAAAGGGGGCGCAGACGGCAGCGCAAGCCAGGAGUGAAAGCCCGGGGCCCAACCCCGGGACUGCUCUUGGAACUGCGCGGCUGGAGUGCAGGAGGGGCAGGCGGAAUUCCUGGUGUAGCGGUGAAAUGCGUAGAUAUCAGGAGGAACACCGGUGGCGAAGGCGGCCUGCUGGACUGCGACUGACGUUGAGGCCCGAAAGCGUGGGGAGCAAACAGGAUUAGAUACCCUAGUA